rnacentral:lncRNA from 1 species
CUGCAGCGGCUCCAGGCCCUGCAAGGAAUUGCUAACAGAGAUGUAACCUUCUGGAUUAUUUUUAUUCUCCUCUCUGCAGGUGAGCAAAACUCCCUUUGGCUCCAAUUAAAAAGAUGUGCUCCAACACCACAGGGACUAAGAUGAGUUUUCAACUUUCCUGCUCUUGGUCCCCAGAGAUGGACUUACAUCCAAGGAGUUAGGCUCCUGUGAAUCCUACAAAGCCGAGGCUGCUGACCAGAGCACUCAUUCAAGUUAUCUGAGUGGGAGAUCGGAAAGAAGCCAAUCUUUUAACUGCAUGUACUGGAAUUAUUCAUCUUCAGAAUUCUAAAGCAGACUGAAUAGGAUCAGAUGGUGAGUGUCCUACAUUGCUGACCUAGUUUGUCUUCUUUCUGUUUAGUUUCCUUAUAAUUAUGAACUAUCAGAGCUGCUGAUGACUUCAAAAAGCAAUGUUUAUGAUUAUGUAAAAUGGAAUCUUAAGCUUCCCGUGGGUAUGUGGUCAUAGGAUUGUAUUAUUUUUCAACAAAUAUUUCCUAUUUUGGUGGAAAGUUUCAUAUUGCCCACUUUUAUUGAGAAAUGUUAAGUAACUGGCUUAAGAAAUAGCCUGUUGAAAAAGAGUUUUAUUUUGUGAAGGGUCACGGGUGACUUUUCAGAGCCUCUUCAUCUUUCACAAGAGGACUAUAAACUACCUUUCCAGCCUUGUUUCCUGACAUCAUUCUUCAUCUGUUCAUCUGUGCUACAACUGUGGACCUUCCAGCCAACACCUGAAUAAACUGUGUUUGCUCAGUGAGCCCUGACUUUGCACUUGAAGCUUCCCUGAGGUGAAGGGUCAUCCUCCACUUUCCCUCAUUUUUCAUGACUGAGCUCGACUGAGCUCAAGUGAUAUCUUUAUGAGAACUCCAAGGCUUGAUGUAAAAAAAUCAUUCCUAUUUUGUGACAAUUAACACACACAGUUCUAAUUAUUUGCUGUUGCAUUUAUUUCUCCUUGUUGAGGUUGAAUUUUUGUGGUAGUCAAGUCAGAAUUACUUUAUUGUUCUUUGAAUUACUUAUAUUUAAUAUAGCACUAGACAUGAGUAAGCAAUGCCUACAUCUUGACUGAAUAAAAAAGAAUGAAUCUAAAGCUAAAGCUCCAAACACCAGAAUUUCUUUCAACAUAAUGUACUUUAUAUGCAAGUGUUCACUAUUCUCAUUACUGUUUAAGUAAGCAUCACCUGGGAAGAGCAAAACUCUGUUCUUAUUAGUGUAUGGGUCUGUGGAAUAUCUGAUACUUGAUGUUGUAUUAUUUCUAAAGAUGUACCGAUUUUAAUUAACUACUAUAAUAUCUUUCCU